GCCACCCAGGUGUCCCACAAUUCGAUGGUUUAAUAGGCAGUUGGAUAUAUGAGAUUGAAGCUCAGAUGGUCUGGGAUUACAAUGUGAAUAUUCACAUCUCUUAUGUGAGAAUAUAAAUAAACUCAAUAUAAAUGAGAUCACCCAGGAAAGAGUUCGUCUAGAAUGAGAAGAGAAGAAGAGCUAGGGCCAUACCUUGAGAAAAUCUAAUAACUAAUAACUGGUUUAGAAGAUAAUGAUCCUGUAAUUCUCCUCAGGGAAUUACUGAGCAUAGAAGGAAAAUAGGAAGAGCGCAGUAACACAGAUGCCAAGAGAAUAUUAUUCAAGAAAAAGAGGGGACUUGUUUUAAUGAGAGCCAAAUAAGGUGAAGAAUAGAACACUUAUUGGAUCAGCAUGGGAAAAGUGUAGAUGCUUCUCCAGAAAAGCCUUCACUCAUCUGCCCACGCACAAUUAAAUAUACCUUCAUCUGGGUUUCCAUCGAGGUUAUUCUGUUACAGCACCUGCUGUUUUUAUUCAGAAUUAUAAAAGGUUAAAAGUCAACUCUAAGUUUGUGAGAAAGUGGUCGGAAAACUCGGGAUACAUAUCCAAAACCUCUAACAAGUCUUCUCUCUGGAUCUUAUGCAAGUCACAACUUUGUCUACAUGACUGGACUUCUGCCAGAUUUCCUGCAUGGACGGAAGACUUCUCCAAAAUGAUAACUUGCCUAGUCUUUGCCCAUUUUUGCUUUGGGGGGCUAGUGGAUCUUUCUGCGCUCUGUCAGAUCCUACACAACCCAGCUCCUCUCCUGGAGCCAACCCUCUGGCUAAAUCUGUGUUGAAUAGUAAGUGACCUCAAACUGAAUGGAGUUUGAAUUACUCCUGUGCUUCUAGGACUCCAGAGAAAGUGUUUGGAAACGCCAUCACAUGCUCCAGCAGGAGGAGGUGCACUCUAGAGUUCUGUUUGAAUAGUACCAUUAUUUCAAAGAGCUAAAAAAAAUUGGACACAUUUCCACUAUCCUAUUGUUGGGAGAAGAACAUUACUAAUGAACGGAAGAACUGCAAUACGUUCACUGCCUCAGUGUGGUGUUUUUGCAAUGACUAUUUUUUCAUGCGUAAAGCCCCAGGCCACGUUGUCAUUUCCCGUGGUUCAGGAACCACCGAAGAUAAAAUCCCACUGUUAAGAGCUCCCUUUGCACAGAAGCAGCAUGGUGCCAGCCGUAAAUAAGUCCUUCUUGAUAAUGGUUGGAGACAAGGAUGAAGUGACCAUAAUCAUUUGUGAAACAUGAUGGAGCACAUACCAUUUGGGACACGAAAAUACCAGAUGCCUGUCUGAAGUCUGCUAUUGUGCAUGUCAGGGGGCUCCAGAUGGCACUUACUGUUCUGUGUGCUAUUUUUGAGACUUUAGAGUAAGUAGCUUGGUAAAAAAUAGGAAAGACAUGCACCUUGCCCUUUCUAAAGCACAUAUGGUUCAGGUACUGGCUACACUAGGCAAGCACGUGUGCUAGGAGAUUUCUUGCUAGCGAGAAACUUUGCUGCCUACACAGUUUCUGUAGAGCCAGGCAGUUUCUGUUAACUAAUCAGCAUGCAGAUGAAAACAUCUUCUAAAGUACAUUGUAGACAGCUAUUUUAAUACAACUCCUAAAUAGUACCUAGGUAUUUCCUUACAGAAAACUAAAAGAUGUCUCACCAGUCCUGAUGGGAUGAGCCCUGGGUGUUGUAAGCGAUGAAUCACUAUAUUCUACUUACUGCUGAAGCCAAGACUAUACUGUAUGUUAACUAACUUGAGAAUAAAAAAUAAAUAAAUAAAUAUAAAAAAAAAUAAAAUAAAUGCAGGUUUUUGCCAGUCUCCAUGCCCCAUUUUCAAAUGUGUGAAUUUACUCGCUAGUCUGUGUAGAGAAGCAACAUGUGUGUUUUUUUUUUUUCAAA